ACUUUUUCUUUCAUACUCUGUAGCACAGUCAGGGCCUUAGGACGUGGCCCAGACCUCUACACCCAGGGUUCUGUUUCCAGGAUUCACAGGCCAGUGUCUUGGAAACAGGUCUGUGGUAACUCAGAAGCAGCUGGUGGCCUGUGGGGGCUGUGGCACAGGAAGGGCCUGCUCUAACCAAGCACAGGUGAAGCCAAGGUGAGGCUUCAGAAGGUCACCAGGGUUCAGGAAGCGAGGCUCUGCAGGAGGUGGAAGAGGAGGAGGCACCAUGUGCGUAACAGGAGAUGCCACCAAGGUCUGACCUCAUGGUGCUGAUUACUAAGUGGUUUCUGGAUUAGCCUUUCACACUUGAGGGUUCACUGAGCGCCAGUCACUUCCUCCCUCUUGUUUUCUUUGCUUUUAAACCUUUUCCUCUGCCUUCCCCUCCCCCUCUCUCACUCAGGAGAAGACUGAAACCAAGGGAGUUCUUGAGGUUGGCAAAGGACAAACAGCAAGCCAGGAAAUUCCUAGCAUGGGAAGGAGGUGGCCACUGAGUCGCUCACUGUGAGCCAGCAGGUCACCCAGACAGAGACUCUGAGCAGGUCCAGAACUGGAUGGGGUCCCUCUGUUUGUGGGGUUCUAGGCCAAACCCCCUGGUAAUCAGUAUAAUUCUAUUUUCAAUCAAUGUUUGAAAAGUCUAGUGGACAUUCCUGUUCCUGAUUCUGUCAAGUCUGGUCAUGUUUGGAUCUUGUCGCAUCUGUGGUCCAAACAAGAAGAAAAGUUUGUUACAGAAAGAGCUUAGCUUCCAACAUAAUCUACAUAAGUCAGAACAGAUUUGAUUUCUUCUGAUCUCUAGAAAACUGAAGAGUCCUUCCUCCAUAGCUGCUGCAGGACAAGACAGGACUCUCAUUUCAUGUCCCAUUUCAUGAAACCUCCCUUAAUAGUGAGCUGUUAUUUCCCCUCCUCCUAUCUCUUAUUUGCUUCAUUCACAUUUUCUCUUUUUGAAUGACUUAAGCAAAAAUUUUCAUGUCCUUCUAUGAUAUUAUAAAAUUUAUAAUCCAGACACUAUUGUGGAUGCCAACAAGUGCUUGCUGACAGCAGCCUGAUAUAGCUAUCUCCUGAGAGGCUCUGCCAGUGCCUAAAAAACGCAGAAGUGGAUGCUCACAGCUAUCCACUGGACAGAGCACAGGGCCCCCAAUGAAGGAGCUAGAGAAAGGACACAAGGAGCUGAAGGGGUUUGCAGCCCCAUAGGAGGAACAUCAAUACAAACUAACCAGUACCCCCAGAGCUCCCAGAGACUAAACCACCAACCAAAGAAAACACAUGGUGGGACGCAUGGCUCUAGAUGCACAUGUAGCAGAGGAUGGCCUAGUCGGUCAUCAAUGAGAGAAGAGGCCCUUGGUCCUGUGAAGGCUCUAAGCCCCAGUGUAGGGGAAUGCCAGGACCAAGAAGUGGGAGUGGGUGGGUUGGUGAGCAGGGGAAGCGGGGAGGGGAUAGGGAGGUUUUGAAGGGGAAACUAGGAAAGGAGAUAACAUUUGAAAUGUAAAUAAAGAAAAUAUCUAAUAAAAAAUAAAAAUAAAAUUUACACAU
rnacentral:lncRNA from 1 species